UUUCACUUGUACGAUUUUUCUGUGAAAUGAGUCUAAGAGUAUAUACAUGUAUAUCAGGAUACUGACUGCAUAGUAAAAUAUUUAUGUACCAUUAGUUGCGACUCAUUUUGGUCUUUUAAGUAAGUUUCCUUCCCCUGCAUUACUUGAUCGCUUUUGUAAAAAAUAAACAGCACAACAACAACAGCACUCGACGUCAGUAUUGUACCAAAAAAUGAAAAAAAUAUUCAAAAAGAAGGCUCAUAAAAUUCAAAUAUUGGACAAGAACUAUAGAAGAUACAGAGAAAUUAUAAACAGCAGAAAUGAUAGGCAAUUUAAAAUUUGCAGAAGUCAACAAAACCUAAAUGGUGAUCAGACAUCUUGGUUUUCAUGAUCAAUAGGUCAAUACUGAAGAGGAAACUGAAAGUUGAUAUCUAUCUACAUGGUGCGCUAAUUGGAUGAAUGUGAAAUGGAAUGUGUGCUUUCCUGCAAAAAAGAAAUAGGAAAUUUCAUCAUAAUCACAUGAUAAUGGCUAUAAACAAAAUGGAGUUCUAUCAUAGAUGCAGAAAAACACAAUUGUAUAAAUGCAACAACAUA